CUUCACUCCAGAGAUCUCCAGGGGAGUGCUUCAUAUUAAUAUUGACACGGCAGAGACAAAACAACAGCUCCUCUGCAGGAUGAUAGCAAUGGCUACAAAAGGAUUCAAACCAGGAUGAACACUGGAGAGCACACAGAGCAAAUGGCAAACCUAUCCCAAAGAACUUCUGUAGCACUCCCUCCUUUUGAAAUUACACGCCUUUAACUUUCCAGUCUCGAUGGGGGUUGAAUGUCAUGGGAAUGGGGGGAGGACACGAAACCUCACAGAAAUCUCCAAGCUGAAGUCCAGCAAACCACCACCACCAUUUCAGUGAGUGAUG